GCAAAUCCUCACAAUCCCUCUGCACACAAAUCAGCAUUAAAGACGGACUUGAUACCUUGUGCUAGGAUGUAAGUAACUUUUGCAAGCUAUGGAGAAUUUGAUCAAGUUCAUACCUGAAUGAGAGUUCUUGAAGAAGACCUUUGAAACUAAACAUCAUCUAUGCUUUACCUCGGCACUGCUGUAUUUCUUGGAUGAAGGAGAGAUCUGUGACAUUUGGCUAAUCAAGGCCUGAUCCUACAACCCUUCUUUGUAAGUGGCGCCAAGUGUACAGGGGUACAACUAUCUUUUGAAUUAAAAUGAAUGAAUAAGACCUUCAUGACACAGAGCAUUGGAAGAAUAAGGUGGACAAGACACCUUGCAGUCCCCUUGUCUGAUAUACCCUGCCUAGGAGCUGGCCAUUUUUCAGGAGUGAUUUACAGCAUAACACAUCCCCACCAUAUAUCUGGAGGGAGCUGCUCUGCUCACCUUGGUUCCUGCCUUUCAAGAUAUUGCAAAGCAUGAUGAUGAGCUUCACAGAGAAAUGACUAGUGUCGACAAACCCAGUCAUCCAUGUUGUACACUGCAUUACCUAAGCCUCAAGGGAAUGUCUAUCAGCAGGUGAAUGCUGAUGGCAGAAUCCAUUAGAGCAAUGGCUUAUUUUAUUAUUUGCAUACAAGAACAUCAUGUUGUUUUUUUUAAAAAAAUGAGAAGAUGUGUAUAAAUACCUGUGAUCAUUGUUACCAUUCAGUUUGUAACCAGUCAGUUCCCUUGGAAACUUCAAAUUAAAGAUUCACAGAAGUUUAAGGACUGGAAGGACCUCAUGAGAUCAUCAGGUUCAGCCCCCCUCCUCUAGGUAGGAAAGACUACUGGGAUCAGAUAACGCCAGCAAGUUUGGCAUAGGGGCAUGACUCCAUUUCACCUGGCAGCACUUCUAAUACUAAGAGAAGAGCAGUACAGGAACUGUGCAAGUGGCUUGGCACCAUCCAAUUUUGCCCUUACAAAGGGGAAUCUUCAGGGGACCAGCUCUGUCACCCAUGUUAAGUAUAGCCUUACAUUGUGAAAUUCUCCUCAGCAUGAGUUAAACAUAUUGGCAUCUUGCUCUUAGCAAAUGACAUUGUAAAUAAUUAGCCUCUUCCAUCUAUAUUUUAAAAUCUACCAAGUCAAGUUAGUUCUUUUAAUAAUGUGUAGAGAGGUUCAAUUCUACAAGUUCUUAAAACAAAACUGAUUCUCUAACCUAUCCAUUUUCCCUCCUCUGAUUAAGGAAACACAUCCAAUUACAUAGGUAUAUUAUUAAUGCUCAUCUGCAGUGCAGUAGAAUUAAAAUUGCAAUGCCUUCCAAUCAUAGUCUAAGCCGUGCAGCAAUCAAGCAUGAAUUUAGCAAGUUCAUUUUUCCAUUAUGCUGUUUUCAACACAAAGUUACCAUAUUAGCAUAUGGUGCCAUAACAUUUGCAGUUCAAACCAAAUGAGAGUUGGGCAUAGGAAAUACAAAAUGCAACUUGCUUUAAGUACAAAUGGAGGUCAGCUUUGAGAAUCUGAAGUCCAUGCUUGGGACUGUUCUUCCUUUUAAUCACUUUUCAAAUGGAAGAUAACAAGAUCUGAUCGUAAAUCCCUAACCAUUAACAGUUACUGAAAUGAAUGGUAGAAACAGCAUAUUUAAAAAGAGAUCUCGCUACUUAAAACAUUUAAUAUUUUUACUUUGUCUCCCCAUUGACUAUUCCCCCCCCAUGGGCUAUAUCAAAACAGGUCUGAAAUUGCAUUACUGUAUCUAUUUCAAAGCUGCAUUAGUGUCCUGAAGUCUGAAUCUGCCCAUUUCAAGUUAUGCUUUUAAGUAUGUGCCACUGUAUUAAAUAUCAGAUUGGAGGGAAAGGAGAAGGAACCUUUUGAUUUUUUUUCUCUGGGCUUUUGGGUGGCAAAGAAAAACCUCCUAAAAUGAUACAUUCUCAAAGCCAAAAAGAAAGUCAAGUUUAUCUUUGAAAAAACAAUUUAAAGCACUCUUUUACAUAUUCAGUAUGUGUAACUUUAAAAGAAAUUAUGUAGUACAAAAAUUCCUUUCUUUCCUUGUUGUCCCUGACUUAUCCAUCUCUUUUGUUUUGUUUUUUUCCCUUCUUUUUUCUUUGAUUAUUUAGCAAAAUAGAUAAAACUUUGAAAAUAAUGAAUACUCUACUGCUUGUUCAAGCUUUUAUUUGUGUCAAUAUUUUUACUCUCUGUGCAAUACACUUGUCUUGAGACCUGAAGCUAACCUGGCUUGGAAGUAUCUGGAUUUUUGAAAGCCAGUAAUAAUAAUGUAUUAUUAAUCUUUUAGAUGUUUGGGACAAUGUGUAAAUAGUUUCUGUGGGGCUACUAGUUUUCAGCAUUUUUAAACUAUCUCUUGAAUGUCAGCAGCAAAAAUAUAAUGGCACUAUAAGUGGAAGAGGGUUAGGGUUUGCAAUAUCCCUUUAAUAAAGGCUGGUUAUUGUUACAGAUGAUGUGAUAUGCAUAGCAGAAGCAUUUGCUGAAAUUCUGUCCCCAAAUUAUCUUAUUAAAUUUUAUUUUGUCAUAGAAUUUAUUUUCCAUGUCAUUUAUUAAAGUUAACUGAAAACUCUAUACAGGCAGGUGCUAAGCCAGCACAAAUAAUAGGUGGAUACAUGCCAAAUUGCAUAACUAAUAGCAUGGUAGAUUACAAAUAAUGUUAAAGAAUGUAAAUGCAUAUAUUGAGUUCUUGCAAAAGUAGAUGGUGACUUGGCAGACUCCAAUGAGAACUUAUAGACUCUUACUUCCUUGAAUCUUUUUCAAAACACCCAUAAAUAUCAUAGACCAUAUAAAAACUGUCACUAAGUGUUUAUUGGGAAGCAGAACAUUGAAUAUGAAAAAUGUUACAUUUAAGAAUGACAUAAUUUGUCUUUUUUAUCAUUUUCUUCAUAAUUAAAUUCAGCAGCAAUGUUCUCAGAGUAAUGUGAAACAGUUCUGGCAAAGCAAGAAUGAGCAGAACAUUUUCAUUUUUCUUGUUGAACCUUUUCAAGCUCUUAAACUUUCUCUUAUUUUGCUAGUGAGAAUAGGAGACUUGUCUCUAGGGUCUGGCUAUUCAAACUUCUACCCAGUAAUGUAACUAAUGCUGGGUGCCAGCUUAGUGGGGUGGAAGAAGCAGGUAGAAAAAUAAAAACUACUGCUGCAACUCCACAGCCAUGGUAGUAGCAGCCAGGCAUCACCACUGCCUCAGAUGCCCAGUGGCUCUGUUAUGCCUCUACUUCUUCCUGCUUCUGACCAUGUAUUUUAGACAUCUUUCCUAUAGUAACAGUUUUUCUUUUUGCCUGCUUGUCUAGUGAAUCAUCUUUGUCUUAUAUGUAGCUGCAGCCUAAACCCUGCCUUCUUCUGAACCUUAGAAUAUGCUUGCAGGCUCCAAUGUGCAAGAGUGAGCCAUGUGUAUCUUAUUUGACAUGUUACUUCAAAAGCAAUGGUGUGUAAGCAGGUCGCUCACCCAGCUUCCUUAGCUAGGUUAAUCAGCUCUCCCUUCAAGGUUUCAAAACCACUUUUACUCCUCUCCGAGAGGCUUGGCAAUCUGCUACAAUAAACAUAUCAACCCCAAACA